rnacentral:lncRNA from 1 species
UACCAUGUAUGUCCUUUUUUUUGACAAAGUUAUUAUAUACCCUAUAAGAAUAUUGAUUGAAUGACUAAAAAAUAAAUCAUAUUGACCUAUUAAACAUUUAAUUGUAUCAUUUAUACCAUUUUCUUUAAUAAUCUGUUUGAAAUAGUGAUAAAAAUCAAUCACGUAUUAUCCAUGUGCUUAAAUUAAAUACCUUUAUAUCUAAAAUAUUAUUAUUAUUGGUAAUUCAAUUAACAUUCUUGUGAAAUAUAUAAUAACUUUAUCAAACAAAAGGGCAUAUAUAGUAUUCCAACUACUAUUCAACUAAUGUCAGGGGUAUUUUGUGUAUUAACCUAAAAUCUCAGGGAUGGUUAGUGUAUUUCACUAUUCUUUUUAAUACAUUCUUGGGGUUCACACGUGUGGGCAGGGGUGGGGGACUUUUGACUCACGUGACUGACUUGGGUUUAAAACUUGGGUUUGGGUACGGGCAAAGGACAGAAUUCGGUGAGGGGUGUCACGUGAAGAGCUGUGUAAAAUUCCACAUUCCAGCUGUACCCAAAGAUGGGAUUGACGCAGACACGCCUCUCUCUCUCUCUCUCUCUCUCUCUCCUCUCCUUGGCUCUUUCUGUUGUUUGUUAGAGUCGUUGUUACUUUCCUUUAUUUAUGGAGUAUCCAUUUAAAAUUAUUAUUUUUUUAAUUAGUUAAAUAAUGGAGCGGAUUCGAUUUAAAGCACUCAAGUACUCAACAACUUUAUUACAACCGGGUUGGCUACGUUUUUUUGUCAAAAAAUCUUAAUUUUUUUAGGGUGAAAUACACUAACUACCCUUGAAGUUCUGAGUUAAUACACAAAUGACAUUUUCUGAGGUUUAUGACUUGUAACAGAUUUUCACUAUUUUACACUAACCACCCUUGAGAUUCCAGAUUAAUACACAAAAUACCCUUUAUGUUAAUCGUCCGUUAGCAAGAUUGACUGUUCAUUCAUGAGUCAGCUGAAUAGUGGUUAAAAUACUAUAUAUGUCAUUCUUUUUAAUAAAGUUACUAUUUAUUUUUUUAAUUAGUAUAAAAUGGAAAGAAUCUGUUAUAAAUUUCAAAUAUCAGGGGAGGUCAUUGUCAUUUCUCAAACGUCAGUGGUACUUUGUGUGUUAAUCCGGAAUCUAAGGGAUAAUUAGUGUAUUUCAUCCUUUUUUUAUAAAAAAAAUUUCCUGUUUUUUAAUUUUUUUAAUUUUUUAAGUAUGUUUAGAUGAGAAAGUUUUUUUUAUUUUAAAUAAUCUAUUUGGAUCAAUUUAUUUUUAAAAAAUAAUAUUUAUAUUUUUAUUAGAAGUGCUUAACAAAAUAAACUGUUUAGAUCAAUUUUUUUAAUAAAAAUUAACUAUUAAUAAAAAAUUAAAUAAUUUAUAAAUAAUGCAAAUAAAUUUUUUUCGCUAUUUUCUACUUUUAAUUCAAAAAAAGAGGAGAGGCCGUUUGGGGGCUGGAUUUGCCUUUUCGGGGUCAUGUUUACUUUACAGCCUGUACUCACACCGCAAAGGCUAGUUGGGAAUUUUUAAAUCGGGACCAAGAUUAAAAAAAAUAUUGGGUAACUUCCACCCACCUCCUCUGAAGUUCUUGACUUUUAUUAUUUUUAAAAUUAUUAUUAAAAUUCUUUUAAUUAGAAAAUUUUUUGUAUAAAAAUAAUAAUAUUAACUUUAUGUUUAGAGUCUUUAUUUUUUUCGCAAUACACAAAUAAAAAUAAAAUAAAUAUUCUAUUUUUUCUCAAAACGUUAUUUAUUUAUAAAUUAUUCUAUUUUUAUUUUAUUAUCAAUAAGUAAUUUUUUUUACAAAGAAUUGUUCUAAGUAAUUUAUUUUUUUAUUUUAAAAUUAAUUGCUCAUAAUCUAAAUAUUCUUAAAAAAUAAAUUUUUUAUUAUAUAUUUUUUAAAAAAAUAUUUAUUUAUUUUAAUUAUUAUUUGGAGAAAACAAAACUGAAAGCCCUAAAUAUAAGAGUAAUCUUGUUAUCUUUGUACAAAAAAUAGAUCCAAGAAAAAAUCUUGACAAUAUUUUUAAAAGUAAGAGAGCUUAGUGCAAUUUUAAAAAUUACAAGAAAGAUAGUUGUAUUUAUUAGAAAUCUCAAGAUAAGUCAGUGAUUUUUUUUUAUCUUGCUUGAAAUCUUUUGUUGUUUUCUGGUUUAAUUUGAACGAUCAAUAAUAUAAAAAAAAUUAAAAAUUUACAGAAUUCCAAAUACUUCGAAAUGAAUCAAUUAAUUGAAUUAUUUUGUGUUUAGCGUUUUUUUUAAUAAAAAAGUUUCCAUUUUUCAUUUUUCCUUUAAUCGAGAUAGAUCCAAAAAGUAAAAGAAAAUUGGAUUACGAUUUAUGCACUCUUUUUUUAAAAAAACAUUAUGCAUCCUAUUUUUGAUCAAAUACACUCUAUUUUUUUGUUUUAAUUAUGCAUUUUUUUUAAUAAAUAUUAUUGGUAAUAGACAAAAAUGUGAAGUAAUUUAUUUUAACUUUCCAUAAAUCACUGCCCCAAAAUUUUACUCUCAAACUAAAAAAA